rnacentral:rRNA from 1 species
AUUGAACGCUGGCGGCAUGCUUUACACAUGCAAGUCGAACGGUAACAGGCCGCAAGGUGCUGACGAGUGGCGAACGGGUGAGUAAUGCAUCGGAACGUGCCCAGUCGUGGGGGAUAACGCAGCGAAAGCUGCGCUAAUACCGCAUACGACCUAUGGAUGAAAGCGGGGGCCCGUAAGGCCUCGCUCGAUUGGAGCGGCCGAUGUGUGAGUAGGUAGUUGGAGGGGUAAAGGCUCACCAAGCCACCGAUCUGUAGCUGGUCUGGGAGGACGACCAGCCGCACUGGGACUGAGACACGGCCCAGACUCAUAAGGGAGGCAGAAGUGGGGAAUGUUGGACAAUGGGCGCAAGCCUGAUCCAGCAAUGCCGCGUGCAGGAAGAAGGCCUUCGGGUUGUAAACUGCUUUUGUACGGAACGAAACGGUCCUGGUUAAUACCUGGGGCUAAUGACGGUACCGUAAGAAUAAGCACCGGCUAACUACGUGCCAGCCGCCGCUGUAAUAC